CUUUAUACACAUAAUGCCACGGGGUUGUCAAAAACAAUGUGUAUUUUCUCAGCCCCUCAAAUAUCUCUUCUAGAAAUGACAGAUGCCCUGAGUAUUCCAUUGUACGGCUAAAGCAAAACAUGUCUACAGAAGGACCCUGGAAUGUUUUUAGUUUGGAAUAAUUGUUAAUACAGCCACUCUAAACAUUCACGUAUGGAUUUUGAGAGGGCAUAUAUGUUUGUUUAUCUAAGUGUAACCUUAACAUCGAAGACCCAAGAGCCUGUUUCUACAGAAUAAAAUCACAUUUGAAUUUAUGGACAAAAUCGUGGACUUCUGCUGAAGGAGAAGAUCGGCUUCUGAGAAAGUUUCGUAUAUGUUUGGAGGAAAUUAUUCUGUACUGUAGUAUUUUCACAACUACCACCGUUUUCAAGGCUACCACUGAGUUGAAGUAUGGGGGAUGAGAAUAAGGUCAAAUAAAAACAACAAAAAG
rnacentral:lncRNA from 1 species